rnacentral:lncRNA from 1 species
AUGUUCUUCAGCAGGGGCUGGGCCCUGGAACUAAACUUUGAUUGGACUAAGCUAAUCAAGACCCAUCAAGUGAUUGUUGAGUACCAGGGAUCAAACUCAGGACCUUGUGCUUACAGGGCAGGCACUGGAACCACUGUGCUAAAUCUCCAGCCCCUAAGACAGUAUGUUAAUGCACUUGAAAAGGUUCAAGAAAGGCAUAAACAAGUACACCUCCUCUGGGGAACAUUUCAAGGGAUAUGGAGGAGCACAUGCUGUGAAUGCUGCCAUAUGUUCACUUGCACAUCCAAGCCGUCUCCUUAAUUGUAGUCAUAGGACACAUGCAAUUGUGUGCCCUGCUCUCUUCUUCAAAUGUUGCACCAUAGAGACUUUGAGGACACGACUGCACAGAACAAACUUCUCUUCUUUCGUCUCUGGGGGUCUCUAAAUGUUAACAGUGUUAACCUGAGAUCAUCUGGCUAGUGAGAAGGUAGGAACAACCGCCCAGAGUUAGUGGAUCAUGUCUUGGUACUUAGUCUCUAAGCAUGUAUAUUGGAGCAGAUUGUCAGGAUUUGAAAUUAGGGCCAAGACCUCCUCAUCCUGAAAUACAUUUAUGUGGACAUUUCAAACUCACCAAAACCAUUUCUAUUCCCCAAGCUUAAGGGUGAGACCUUAAAUUGACAUGGACUAUAAAGCAGGAAACAACCUUAUUUUCUUCAAAGGAAGAGUCUCAAAUGGACAAAGGACAGCAGGAUUUGCCAUGCAAAUGGACACAAAGUAGGCUUGUCCCUCCCAAUUACGUCCAGCAUGGAAAUAGCAGAGAUUUACAAGAGGCUUAAUUCAGAGAAACAAAAAGUCAUGGAUCAUCUGUGGAGGACUGGAUAUUAAAGGAAAAAUGAAACCUUACCGCUCUAUUGUUUUUUAUGUGCUGAGUUGGCCCCAGGAAAUACGACAUUCACUGAUAGCUGUAUACCAACUCUGCUGGUUAGAACAUAGUCCCGAGAAAGACACAGAUAUGAAUUUCCAUGCAGUAUUUAUAAUUAUAUUAUACAUUUAUUAUACUCAUAUUUAAUGAAAACAGGGACUUGUUGGUUUUUUCCCCUGCUGUAUCUUCAGCAGUAGAAUACUUGCAUUAUAAAUAUUUGCUGAAUUAAUGAAAUCAUUCUCCUUAGAGAAGAACUAGUUUCCCUGCACCCCACAGAUAGAGGUUGAACCUCUAAACUCUGUCAGCCUGAAACUUCUACUUUGGUAUAUGUGUUUAAAGGCAAUUACCAUCAUAUUUCUUUAAGUUUCCUUUGAAAAAUCAAGCCACAAAUCUCUGCUUUGUUCGGUUUGGUAGAAAUUCACUCUGAAUGCUCUCCUUUUUGUAAAUCUGCACUUUCAGAAAAUGCAUAGCCCUGUUUCUGGUAACAUAAUGGCUAGGUCCUCAGAGCACUGGAAUAAUCUUCCCAUUAGUAACAAUGAAAAAAAAAGCUAGUUAAUGCAUAUUUUUAAAAAGUCUUAAAAGCAUCGAAGAACAGGUAAAAACAUAUAGCAGCAAGGAUUUAUCAGUCUAACAUGUAAGGGAAAUCAGGAACUAGGACCAGGAAGCAAAGUUCAGAGAGUCUUUUCAUCCUGAGAACUGUUGCUGAAAC